rnacentral:rRNA from 1 species
AGGGUUUGAUCAUGGGCUCAGAAUGAACGUUAGCGGUGUGGAUUAGGCAUGCAAGUCGAGCGUGAAAGCCUUCGGGUGAGUAAAGCGGCGAACGGGUGAGUAACACGUAAUCAACCUACCCUCGAAACUGGAAUAACCACUGGAAACGGUGGGUAAUGCCAGAUGGCCCCUUCAGAUGGCAUCUUCGGAAGGGUAAACGGGGCUUCGGGCUGUUGUUCGGGGGGGGAUUGCGGCCUAUCAGCUUGUUGGUGGGGUAAUGGCCUACCAAGGCAAUGACGGGUAGCCGGUCUGAGAGGACGAUCGGUCACACUGGGACUGAGACACUGCCCAGACUCCUACGGGAGGCUGCAGUCGAGAAUCUUCCGCAAUGGACGAAAGUCUGACGGAGCGACACCGCGUGCAGGAUGAAGGCCUUCGGGUUGUAAACUGCUGUCACGCUAUAGGAAAGUCAUGUCGUUAAUAGCUGCAUGGUUGACCAAAGCGAAAGGAAGCACCGGCUAACUCCGUGCCAGCAGCCGCGGUAAGACGGAGGGUGCAAACGUUUGUUCGGAAUUACUGGGCAUAAAGCGCACGUAGGCGGCCAAGUCAGUCUGAUGUGAAAGCCCCCGGCUCAACCGGGGAAUUGCAUCGGAUACUGCUUGGCUUGAGGACGGUUGGGGUGAGUGGAACUCCUGGUGGAGCGGUGAAAUGCGUAGAUAUCAGGAGGAACACCAGUGGCGAAAGCGGCUCACUGGACCGUAUCUGACGCUGAGGUGCGAAAGCUAGGGUAGCGAACGGGAUUAGAUACCCCGGUAGUCCUAGCCGUAAACGAUGGGCACUAGGUAGGGGGGUUCCUAUGUUUCCCUGGGGGAGCAAAUGUAAUAAGUGCCCCGCCUGGGGAGUACGCUCGCAAGGGUAAAACUCAAAGGAAUAGACGGGGGCUCACACAAGCGGUGGAGCAUGUGUUUAAUUCGAAGCAACGCGAAGAACCUUACCUGGCCUUGACAUGCACGGAUUAGCUCCUUGAAAGGGGUGUGACACCUCUUCGGAGGCGGAACAUGUGCAGGUGUUGCAUGGCUGUCGUCAGCUCGUGUCGUGAGAUGUUGGGUUAAGUCCCGUAACGAGCGAAACCCUUAUCGUUAGUUGCCAACGCGUUAUGGCGGGGACUCUAGGGAGACUGCCGGUGUCAAGCCGGAGGAAGGUGGGGACGACGUCAAGUCAUCAUGGCCCUUAUGACUAGGGCUACACACGUGCUACAAUGGCCCAUACAAAGGGUACCAAUGUCGUAAGGCGGAGGCAAUCCCAGAAAGUGGGCCCCAGUUCGGAUUGCAGGCUGAAAUUCGCCUGCAUGAAGCUGGAAUCGCUAGUAAUCGCGUAUCAGCCAUGACGCGGUGAAUAUGUUCCUGAUCCUUGUACACACUGCCCGUCAAGCCACGAAAGCGGGGAGUACUCGAAGUCGCUAUGCCCAACCCUCGGGAAGGCGGCGCCGAAAGUAAGCUCCGUGAUUGGGACUAAGUCGUAACAAGGUAGCCC